UGGGGAAUAUUGCACAAUGGGCGAAAGCCUGAUGCAGCGACGCCGCGUGCGGGAUGAAGGCCUUCGGGUUGUAAACCGCUUUUAAUUGGGAGCAAGCGAGAGUGAGUGUACCUUUUGAAUAAGCACCGGCUAACUACGUGCCAGCAGCCGCGGUAAUACGUAGGGUGCAAGCGUUAUCCGGAAUUAUUGGGCGUAAAGAGCUCGUAGGCGGUUUGUCACGCCUGGUGUGAAAGUCCAUCGCUUAACGGUGGAUCUGCGCCGGGUACGGGCAGGCUAGAGUGCAGUAGGGGAGAUUGGAAUUCCCGGUGUAACGGUGGAAUGUGUAGAUAUCGGGAAGAACACCAAUGGCGAAGGCAGAUCUCCGGGCUGUUACUGACGCUGAGGAGCGAAAGCAUGGGGAGCGAACAGGAUUAGAUACCCGUGGUAGUCCAUGCCGUAAA
rnacentral:rRNA from 1 species